rnacentral:rRNA from 1 species
AACGAACGCUGGCGGCAGGCUUAACACAUGCAAGUCGAACGCCCUCUUCGGAGGGAGUGGCAGACGGGUGAGUAACACGUGGGAAUCUACCUAUCUCUGCGGAACAACACAUAGAAAUGUGUGCUAAUACCGCAUACGCCCUUCGGGGGAAAGAUUUAUCGGAGAUAGAUGAGCCCGCGUUUGAUUAGCUAGUUGGUGAGGUAAUGGCUCACCAAGGCGACGAUCAAUAGCUGGUCUGAGAGGAUGAUCAGCCACACUGGGACUGAGACACGGCCCAGACUCCUACGGGAGGCAGCAGUGGGGAAUAUUGGACAAUGGGCGCAAGCCUGAUCCAGCCAUGCCGCGUGAGUGAUGAAGGCCCUAGGGUUGUAAAGCUCUUUCAACGGUGAAGAUAAUGACGGUAACCGUAGAAGAAGCCCCGGCUAACUUCGUGCCAGCCGCCGCCGUAACAC